CGCCGGACCGUCUGGGCUGCGCCGCGGAGGAGACGUGGAUGUCCUGGGUCCAGUGGCGGUUCCGGCCCCAGCCUGCCGGGGACGCAGGCUCACCGUGACGUGGAGCACGUACGAGGGCGCGGGAAGGCUUCACCCGCAGGAGGGCGAGCGCGGAGGCGGGAGAGCCGCGCUGGCCGCCCAGUGUUUUGGCGCUGGAGUCGCGGCCCCUCCGAAUUGGGAGGCAGCGCUGCACGCGGGAAGUACCGGGCCCGGAGACUGGGCGUGAAAGUAUAAAAUGAGGCCGAUGGGUCUGCCAUGGAACACUGAAGAAUCCACAGCAGAAGGCUGAAGGGUCUCUGACAAAAGCUGAAGAGUCCCAGGCAGAAGCGGAGUAGUCUGUGCCAGAAGCCAGGAGACCACGUCCAAGCCGAAGGCAGAGACCAGCGCUCCCCGGAGCACCAGCCGUUGGUGCUCCUCCUCUAAGAGCACCCAGGAGGCGCAGCUGCUGAGUUACUUAGUUGAGCUUCCGGACUUCUCAAGCUCACACAGUGUGUCCUCCAUAACCGGGAUGUUCCAGCAAAAGAAGCCCCGGGGUCCCGUGUCCUGAGCCCCGGUUGUCCGCUCCCUCUUCUUUCAUCACACAAGCAGUCCCACUACCGCAUGACAGUGGCUGUGGGAGGAGCAACAGCCCAGACGGUGGAGGACCCAGAGGCCAUAGCUGUGGAAGCAGCACGUGUCCAGCUCACGACAUAGACCAGAGCCCAUGAUGAUGGUCGAGGUCGGGACAAAGAGACCCAACUGCCCCUUGGGUUGCUCUCAGUACCCACUGUGCCAGCCAGCAGCAGGGAGGAGCUGGGAGAGGUCACCGCGGUGCUGAGCACAGAAGCUGGAGAGGGUCACAGCAACACCGCUUACAGCGGGAAGGGGCCAGGAGGCCGGGCAGGGAAGUGUGGAUCUGCGGAAUCAUGAGGUGGCUCCGUAAGGAAGGAACACAUUGAGGUCGUGUAUACGGGGCUGGAUUUCCAUCUUAGAGAUGGGAAACUGACCAAGCAUGGAGGACUGCGCUACUCAGGAGGCUGAGGCAGAAGGACUGCCAACCUGUGCGGGUUAGUGAGUGGGAUCCGUCUCAAAGAUAACCAGGCGUGGUGGUGCACACCACUAAUCGCAGUAUUUGGGAGGCUGAGACAGGAGGGCCACAGUGAGUUCAAGGCCAACCUGGAAUACGUAGUGGGACCCUGUCUCAAUAAAUAAAAAGAGAAACUUUAAAAUAAACUAAUUAGUCAAACAAUAAAUGAGUUAAAAGGGCUAGGUGUGAAACUCAGUAGUAGAGAAUUGACUCACCUUUGCAAGCUCCUGGAUUCAAUUCUCAGUACUUACAUAUAUACGUAGAUACAUGCAUAAGCAAGUCCACGAAUACUAGUGUAAUUCCAGUACUCUGAGAAGCUGAGGCAGGAGGAUCACAAGCUUGACUUCACCCCGGGCAAUUCAGCAAGAUCCUACUUCAAAAGAAUAUAUCUAUUCUACAUAUUAAAUAUAUUCUGCAUAUUAAAUUCAACAUAUUCUGAGCUGGGCUGCCCCUGAGGGCACCCACAGCCUGGUCUGCAGCCUGAACAGCACUGAGAUGGCCCAAGGCCCGGCAGCCUAAAGGGAAGGGAAGGGAAGGGGGGCAGAAGGUAUCGGUGCGGAGAUUGUUGGGGUUCUGCCUGGCUUCCAAGUCCGGUCCCUGCAGCUCCCAGGGCCACCGUGAGGGGAGGCACAGCCCUGGACCCUGUUGGCAUGGCCUGCCCAGCACAGGCUGGCCCUCAACACAGAGGAGUGUCCUGUGAGGCGCCCCAAAUGCCUCUUUGCAAACACUUUUUCAGGCCUCAUUUUCCUGGGUGGAAAACCAUGAACCUGGGGACAGGCAAUGGGGUCCUUGACCUUGGAGCCACUCCAGGGCGCAGGGGUUCAUACCCCACAGGCCCUCAUAGGCCUGUUUCGCUGCCUGCUGGACGGGGAUCCACGGUCAUGGUGGGUGGCAUUCAGCAGGUGCCGGGGUGCAAUGGCACCCAGAAACAGAGACAACACCCGGGAUUCGGAGGCAGAUUUAUUUACACUGACAGGCACUGAGGGGAUCACUCCCAAAAUAUCAGGCUCUGAUCUCUGGUGGUCAGGGCCUCCUAUGGGAUAAGUGAGCAGGAAGGACAGAGGCAGAAUGGCGUGUCCAUGGGGACUGGCUCUUACAUAUGCAUCACAGGGGCCAGCUGUUUCUACAAAGGUAGCAGGGAGGGGAACCAGAACUCACCUAGGCAGUGAACAGACCGAAGCAUGCUGGGGGGAGGGGCAUCGUCUGCUACAGGACUUUGGGUCAGCGCGGCUCUGCAGUCCCGAUGCCCAGUAACCGUACAAAAAUAAAACCCCAGAAUCCAG